CCUACGGGAGGCAGCAGUGGGGAAUUUUGGACAAUGGGCGCAAGCCUGAUCCAGCCAUGCCGCGUGCAGGAUGAAGGCCUUCGGGUUGUAAACUGCUUUUGUACGGAACGAAAAGACUCUGGCUAAUACCUGGGGUCCAUGACGGUACCGUAAGAAUAAGCACCGGCUAACUACGUGCCAGCAGCCGCGGUAAUACGUAGGGUGCGAGCGUUAAUCGGAAUUACUGGGCGUAAAGCGUGCGCAGGCGGUUAUAUAAGACAGAUGUGAAAUCCCCGGGCUCAACCUGGGAACUGCAUUUGUGACUGUAUAGCUAGAGUACGGCAGAGGGGGGAUGGAAUUCCGCGUGUAGCAGUGAAAUGCGUAGAUAUGCGGAGGAACACCGAUGGCGAAGGCAAUCCCCUGGGCCUGUACUGACGCUCAUGCACGAAAGCGUGGGGAGCAAACAGGAUUAGAUACCCUGGUAGUCCACGCCCUAAACGAUGUCAACUGGUUGUUGGGUCUUCACUGACUCAGUAACGAAGCUAAACGCGUGAAGUUGACCGCCUGGGGAGUAGGGCCGCAAGGUUGAAACUCAAAUUGAAUUGACGGCUUGAGAGNGCGAGACGACACGAGGAGGAGG
rnacentral:rRNA from 1 species